UGAGGAAUAUUGGUCAAUGGGCGUAAGCCUGAACCAGCCAAGUAGCGUGCAGGAAGACGGCCCUACGGGUUGUAAACUGCUUUUAUGCGGGGAUAAAGUGCAAUACGUGUAUUGCUUUGCAGGUACCGCAUGAAUAAGGACCGGCUAAUUCCGUGCCAGCAGCCGCGGUAAUACGGAAGGUCCGGGCGUUAUCGAUUAUGGGUUAAAGGAGCGCAGGCCGCCCCUUAAGCGUGUUGUGAAAUGCCGCGGCUCAACCGUGGCACUGCAGCGCGAACUGGGGGGUCUUGAGUGCGCCGGAGGUAGGCGGAAUUCGUGGUGUAGCGGUGAAAUGCUUAGAUAUCACGAAGAACUCCGAUUGCGAAGGCAGCCUACCGUAGCGUUACUGACGCUGAGGCUCGAAGGUGCGGGUAUCGAACAGGAUUAGAUACC
rnacentral:rRNA from 1 species